rnacentral:rRNA from 1 species
GACGAACGCUGGCGGCGUGCUUAACACAUGCAAGUCGAACGGUAAGGCCCUGUCUUGGGGGGGUGAGUGGGUAGCGAACGGGUGAGUAACACGUGAGUAACCUGCCCCUGAGGGUGGGAUAAAUUCAGGAAACUCGGGCUAAUACCGGAUACGAGUUCCUGAUGCAUGGGGUGGGAUAGCAAGUUCCGGUGGGGGGGGAGGGCCGGGCGGCUUAUCGGCUUGUUGGUGGGUGGGCGGCUUACGAGGGCUUGGACGGGCAGCCGGCCUGGGAGGGUGACCGGCCCCAUGGGGCCUGGGUUACGGCCAGGACUCCUACGGGGGCCAGCGGUGGGAAGUUUUGCCCAAUGGGCGGAGGCCGGAUGCAGCACGCCCGCUUGCGGGAGGACGGCCUUCGGUUUGUAACCCGCUUUCGCCUGUGACGAGGCUUGUGUGACGGUAACUGGUAAAGAAGCACCGGCUAACUACGUG